rnacentral:rRNA from 1 species
CGGCCCGGCGUGCUCCGCGUUAAAUCCAGCAGCCUAACUGCUGGGCUGCGCGGAUGACUGCCGGGCUUGGGGGUGGGAGAGGGCGGCGGUAUUCCCGGGGUAGGGGUAAAUCCACUAAUCCCGGGAGGACCACCAGUGGCGAAGGCGGCCGCCCAGAACACGCCCGACGGUGAGGGACGAAAGCUGGGGGAGCGAUCGGGAUUAGAUACCCCGGUAGUCCCAGCCGUAAACGAUGCGGGCUUGGUGUCGGGCUGGCCACGAGCCAGCCCGGUGCAGAAGGGAACCAUUAAGCCCGCCGCCUGGGGA